rnacentral:rRNA from 1 species
UACGUAGGUGACAAGCGUUGUCCGGAUUUACUGGGCGUAAAGAGCGCGCAGGCGGUCGUUCACGUCGGGUGUGAAAGCCCCCGGCUCAACUGGGGAGGGUCACUCGAUACUGAUCGACUCGAAGGCAGGAGAGGGUAGUGGAAUUCCCGGUGUAGUGGUGAAAUGCGUAGAUAUCGGGAGGAACACCAGUGGCGAAGGCGACUACCUGGCCUGUUACUGACGCUGAGGCGCGACAGCGUGGGGAGCAAACAGG